CGAAGUAUAGCAUAUGAAAUGCUUUUUACUUACACUAAAAAUAAAACAAAUCUGUUUACUUCGCCC
rnacentral:tRNA from 1 species